CAAAAUGGCGAUCAAGAUUCUUGUUCUGUCCACCUUCCUGGUCGGUGUCCUCAGCAGUUCACUGCCAUCCUACAACGCUCCAGCUCCUGCUCCCACGGGCCCAGCCCAGUACGACUUCAACUACGCAGUGAACCACGAUCACUCCAAUAACGACUUCGGCCACCAAGAAAAUCGAAAUGGAUACGACACUCAAGGAGCUUACUUUGUGCUACUCCCCGACGGUCGUGUACAGAGGGUUUCGUACACUGUGAAUGGCGACGCUGGGUACGUGGCCCAAGUUACGUACGAGGGAGAGGCCCAAUACGGCGCCCAAAGACCUUCUACUUCUUACCAGCCUGCUCCUGCUUAUGCCUAACUUUACAGUUUAGGAUAUAUUUAAUUUAACUGAAAUAACAAGUAUUAUUUAAUCAAAUCACAAUAAAUGUUAUCAUA
rnacentral:lncRNA from 1 species